UUGCUGGGCAGGGCAUAAGCCUCUUAUGAUCAAAGUCUAUGUCUACCCAUCUUUAACUCUCAGAAAAGAGGCUGAUUUUAUUAAGGUAGAAAUUCAUACCUGAUUAAGGAAAACUGUAAGUGAAUUUUUUUGUUUUUUAGAUGGAGUUUCACUCUUGUUGCUCAGGCUGGAGUGCAAUGGCGCAACCUCGGCUCACUGCAACCUCCACCUCCCGGGUUCAAGCGAUUCUCCUGCCUCAGCUUCCGGAGUAGCUAGGAUUACAGGCGCCUGCCACCAUGCCUGGCUAAUUUUUUGUAUUUUUAGUAGAAACACGAUUUCACCAUCUUAGCCAGGCUGGUCUUGAACUCCUGACCUGAGGUGAUCAACCUGCCUCCCAAAGUGCCGGGAUUACAAGGCAUGAGCCACCACACCUGGCCUAUGGAUAUUUUUAUAUUUCAAUUUUUAUUCCUUUCCUGAGCCAAGCCCCUGGGGUGAGUGCUGGGGACUUGGAUAAAACCAAAUUCCUGUCUCAAGAUGUCCACCAUCUUGGGGAAGACAUGAAAUAGAAUGAGGGCCAGGGGGAAAGAGGCCUGCCCCAACAAGACCAAUUCAGCAUGGCCACACUUCCUCUUCCUUGAAGCAGUCCCUUCCGUGGGUCCCUCCUGUGACUCCACUGUCCUCCGGGUCUCCUGUGUCCCAUCAUUCACAGCUGCCAUCCCCCUUUUCCCCGUGGGUUUCCUAUGUGUUUAGUCCUGGCUCCUUCUCCCUCCACCCUCCAUCCUGGCUCAACGCUCCCUCCUCUGUGGCUCUAGGCACCAUCGUUUUCCCAACCCCAGCCCCGCCCUCCCUCCGAACCUAGACACAUACCUCCACCACCACCUGUUGGACAUCUCAGAGGUUCUCAGAACUUGGCCUGUUCAGAACUGCACACAUGCUGUUCCAGGAGGAAUCAUGUCCCUGAGAAAUCUACACGUUGAAGUCUGUCAUCACCAGAACCUCAGAAUGUGGCUGUGCGUGGAGACAGGGUGUUCAAUGGGGUCAUUAGGAGAUUAGGACACAGACACACACAGAGGGAUGCCCACGUGAAGACAUAAGGAGGAGGAGGCAUCUACAGGUCAAGGCGGGGGACCUCUGAAGAAACCAGCCCUGCCGACACCUUUGUCUCGGACUUCCAGCCUCCAGAACUAUGAGGAAAGAAGCCCAGGAUCUAAGCUGGGCGCAGUGGCUCACGUCUGUAAUCCCAAC
rnacentral:lncRNA from 10 species